GACGAACCGUGCGAACGUUAUUCGGAAUCAUUGGGCUUAAAGCGCGUGUAGGCGGAUUCGUGCGUCUGUCGCUGAAAUCCCCCGGCUCAACCGGGGAACGGGCGCGGAUACGACGAGUCUGGAGGGGCAUAGGGGGACCUGGAACUUCCGGUGGAGCGGUGAAAUGCGUUGAGAUCGGAAGGAACGCCCGUGGCGAAAGCGAGGUCCUGGAUGCCUACUGACGCUGAGACGCGAAAGCGUGGGGAGCGAACAGG
rnacentral:rRNA from 1 species